AUGGCGUCGACGAUGCGCCGCCGUGCCGACUGGUUCCUCCACGACUGGGUCGACAGGCUCGACACUCAGCGGCCGCCGACUCCGACUCCGACACCUCCGCCUCCCCGCCCCGCCUCCAGCUCCAAGGCCGGCCGCGGCGGAGCCUCUCCUCCUUCGCCGCCGCGGCGAGCGCCCCGAGUACCUUCCCCGCCACGCCCGUCGGCGCGGCGGGGCCAGGGCCAGUUCCACUACGGGAUCCAGUCAGCCGCGCCACCGCACCGGCUCCAGGCGCGCGUCACCUCCCCGGCGGACCACCGGAACGCCUCCGCGUUCAGGCAGGGGAAUCCGACCUCGCGCUCGCUUCUCCACGGAGGACUGGGCGUCUUCAAUCGGUUCGCUCUCUUGGCGAGUGCGAGCGACUAUGAGAGAGAGUUUCCGGUGCUGACUGCUGCAACUGCAAGCAUCAGCGACAAGGACGCGAAGCAGCGGGGGCAAUCUCCUAAAGCUAUCAAGCAUACGAACGGCAAGCUCCGGGGACGAGGCGUUAGGAGGGCUCCGCAGGUGCAGCACGUUAGGAAGGCCGUCGCCGAGCCCGCGGUCAAGGGAGACGCCCAGCUGGUGGUCAAGGGCGACGCCGAGGCGGUGAUCAAGGCCAAGGGCCACGCCGAGCUGGCGAAGGGCGAGAGCGAGGGCCACGCCAAGGCGGCGACCAAGGCCGAGGGCCACGCCGAGGUGGCGGUCAAGAGCGACAAGGCCGCACGCAAUGUCCCCGACCUCGCCAGCGAGCUCAAUGGCCAGGACUUCUUCGUCGGCUCGAUUCUCGGCCUGCCGGAGGCAGUGGAGGAGGACCUGCUGGAGGUGGUGAUGGAUGCGGUGGUGGAGGGCCAGCACCCGAUGGCGGCGGAGGCGGUGUGGGAGGAGGAGGACCGGCCGAUGGCGGCGGGGGUGGUGGGGGAGGAGGACCCCCCGGUGGCGGCGGAGGCGGCCCUGGUGACCCCGCCUCCCCAACCACCCUAUCCACAGCGUCUUCCGUUCGCCAGAUGCCAACGGGCAGGCUGUGGCGUCGACGCCCUGUUCUUCUGCUCGGAGUGUGGGCUGGUUUGCUGUCCGGAGCACGUCUGCCCGGACUGCACCGUGCCACUCUCCGAGCUGCCGGCGCCUCGUCUCUCGGUGCCGCAGGUACAAAUCUACCAGCCCUUUCAGUACCCACCCACUCUUCAGCUCUUCGUCGGCGCGUCGCGUGUGGGAAAUCGCGUUAGUCACUACUUUGCAAGACCCCAGGAUGUGUUUGGGCACGGUGAUAUCAUUGCUGGAGAAGCGCAGCACUUUGACAUGCAGGGUCUUUGGAUGGUUAGAUCUGUCCGCGAGGCGCCCUGCAUUCUCCGGAGGGUACACAUGUUUCCGGAGCCCCAGUUUUACUCAUGGUAG
rnacentral:rRNA from 1 species